CCUACGGGUGGCAGCAGUGAGGAAUAUUGCUCAAUGGACGCAAGUCUGAACCAGCCAUGCCGCGUGCAGGAAGACGGCUCUAUGUGUUGUAAACUGCUUUUGUACGGGGGUAAACGCAGAUACGCGUAUCUGUCUGACAGUAUCGUACGAAUAAGGAUCGGCUAACUCCGUGCCAGUAGCCGCGGUAAUACGGAGGAUUCAAGCGUUAUCCGGAUUUAGUGGGUGUAAAGGGUGCGUAGGCGGUCGGAUAAGUUAGAGGUGAAAUCCCGAGGCUAAACUUCGGAAUUGCCUCUGAUACUGUUCGGCUAGAGAGUAGUUGCGGUAGGCGGAAUGCAUGGUGUAGCGGUGAAAUGCUUAGAGAUCAUACAGAACACCGAUUGCGAAGGCAGCUUACCAAGCUACUUCUGACGUUGAGGCACGAAAGCGUGGGGAGCAAACAGGAUUAGAUACCCCUGUAGUC
rnacentral:rRNA from 1 species